AUGGUGCACACUGCACAUACUGUAUUAAAGUAUCACAUGAGUGAUCGAAAUAGUUUUACUUAUGUUAUGUGUUUUUUCCGACCUUUAUUUUUGAAUGGUGUGUCAGCGAUGGUGAGCAGCGGAGACUUCAGAAAUAUAUCUUACAUUGACAUGUUUUGUUUAAAAUUUGGUUUAGUCGUGUUACUUGCUCUUAUUGUUAGUCCAUUUUCUGCCGUAUGCUUUGACCUUAAGGCAUGUCUAAAGUUUCAUAAGGUUUAUCCGGAAGUGAUAACCACUAUACCGAAGCAAAAAGUGGUCAUAUUUUAUGGAGAAAAGGAAGUCAACUAUGGAACUCCCAAUGACUAUUAAGGAAGUAGAAAAUUCUCCCAGUGUAGCGGGGCAGCCGACCCAAAAUCAUUGUAUACUUUAAUGGUGACAGGUAAGAAAACGCACAUGAAACUGAUAUUUCUCUUCUCCCUAUACGGAAAUGUUUCUAUCGAAGAAAUUUAAAUAGAUUUUUCCAAGCAGUCACGGAGAGCAAAGCUAUCUAGGGUAAAUUUUUGUCGAAGUCAUAGCAUGAUACAUUAAACAAUUAAUUACUUGCAUAUUAAUAAAUUUAUUUUGAAAUAAAUCAAUUAAAACAAAUUAUUAUUAAAUAUUCAUUAAAAUUAUACGCAUACUUUUUAAAUAUUGCA
rnacentral:lncRNA from 1 species